AGCCAUAUUGGUCACUGGUACAUCUGGCAGUCUGAAUGGUUAUUGGUACAAUAACCAUUCAGACUGCCAGAUGUACCAGUGACCAAUAUAUGUGUAAUA
rnacentral:pre_miRNA from 1 species